AAGUAUGAGAACAGCUCAACUUUUGAACCAGACUUUUGAAGGUGGAGUUCCAAAAUCUUCCUUUCACAAAAGUGGAGAAGUUUGUUUUCUCUGAAACAGAAGAAUAAAAGUUUAACUUUAUACCCAGGGGUGCUCUUCCACCAGGCAACCCACACACACACCCUCAGUUUUAUGGUUCAUUUUAUAUAUAUGUAACUUAGUUUUUUAUGUGGUGCUGAGGAUCAAACUUAGUGCCUCACACAUGCUUGGUGAGCGCUCUAUCACUGAGCCACAACCCCAACCCCUCAGCUUGUUUUCAAAAGGUUGGAGGAAGAUGGACUUUGUGUUCACCCAGAUCCUCUGGAGGCUGAAGGAUGGGCUAUAGCUUGAGCCCAGGAGUUGGAGAACAGCCUGUGCAACAUCGUGAGACCGAUCUCAAAAAAUAAAAAGACCUAGGCAAGGUCGCCUGUACUCUCAGCUACUUGGUAGGCUAAGUCAGAAGGAUCCCAAGGUCAAGGUUAGCCUAGGCAAUUUAGCAAAAUCUUAUCUCAAAAGACAAAAAACACUGAGGAUGCAGUUAAGCGGUAGAACAAUCCUGGGUUCAAUCUCCAGUAUCAAAAAAAUAAAUAAAAGAAUGGAGUGUAAGAUCGCCCCAUAAUGAAUAACUGGGAUUGUUUUUCCCCUGUAUUUUAUUUCUCU
rnacentral:lncRNA from 1 species